rnacentral:rRNA from 1 species
GAUGAACGCUGGCGGCGUGCCUAAUACAUGCAAGUCGAGCGAACGGACGAGAAGCUUGCUUUUCUGAUGUUAGCGGCGGACGGGUGAGUAACACGUGGAUAACCUACCUAUAGGACUGGGAUAACUUCGGGAAACCGGAGCUAAUACCGGAUAAUAUUUUGAACCGCAUGGUUCAAAAGUGAAAGACGGUCUUGCUGUCACUUAUAGAUGGAUCCGCGCUGCAUUAGCUAGUUGGUAAGGUAACGGCUUACCAAGGCAACGAUGCAUAGCCGACCUGAGAGGGUGAUCGGCCACACUGGAACUGAGACACGGUCCAGACUCCUACGGGAGGCAGCAGUAGGGAAUCUUCCGCAAUGGGCGAAAGCCUGACGGAGCAACGCCGCGUGAGUGAUGAAGGUCUUCGGAUCGUAAAACUCUGUUAUUAGGGAAGAACAUAUGUGUAAGUAACUGUGCACAUCUUGACGGUACCUAAUCAGAAAGCCACGGCUAACUACGUG